GUGAAUCAUCGAAUUUUUGAACGCAAAUUGCACUCUCUUCUGAUAGUAUGCCUGUUUGAGUGUCAGCCUAAAAAAAAAUCGACAUAGUGGCUGUUUCUCUUUUACAUUCGUCUGAAAUUGGGUCAUCUUAAACCUUUUGGUUUAAGCGGCUUAAAAUUUUCUUUACGAUUCCACGAACGUGUCUAAUAUUUUACUUCUUACACGUUUAAUUUAUCGAUCUUUAUUAUACGUGGCCGUUGCAUCUGAUCACGCCCAUAAAUAUUUCGUUAACUGACCUCAUACAGUUAAUCACACCCU
rnacentral:misc_RNA from 1 species